AUUGAACGCUGGCGGCAUGCCUUACACAUGCAAGUCGAACGGUAACAGGUCUUCGGAUGCUGACGAGUGGCGAACGGGUGAGUAAUACAUCGGAACGUGCCCGAUCGUGGGGGAUAACGGAGCGAAAGCUUUGCUAAUACCGCAUACGAUCUACGGAUGAAAGCAGGGGACCGCAAGGCCUUGCGCGGACGGAGCGGCCGAUGGCAGUUUAUAGGUAGUUGGUGGGAUAAAAGCUUACCAAGCCGACGAUCUGUAGCUGGUCUGAGAGGACGACCAGCCACACUGGGACUGAGACACGGCCCAGACUCCUACGGGAGGCAGCAGUGGGGAAUUUUGGACAAUGGGCGCAAGCCUGAUCCAGCCAUGCCGCGUGCAGGAUGAAGGCCUUCGGGUUGUAAACUGCUUUUGUACGGAACGAAAAGACUCUUUCUAAUAAAGAGGGUCCAUGACGGUACCGUAAGAAUAAGCACCGGCUAACUACGUG
rnacentral:rRNA from 1 species